CCUGGCGGCGACAGCGCGGUGGUCCCACCUGACCCCAUGCCGAACUCAGAAGUGAAACGCCGUAGCGCCGAUGGUAGUGUGGGGUCUCCCCAUGUGA
rnacentral:rRNA from 1 species